CCCUUAGAUGUUCUGGGCCGCACGCGCGCUACACUGUUCGACGCAGCGAGUCUUAACCUUGACCGAAAGGUUUGGGUAAUCUUCAGCAAAGUCGAACGUGAUGGGGAUCGAUCAUUGCAAUUAUUGAUCGUGAACGAGGAAUUCCUAGUAAGUGCAAGUCAUCAGCUUGCGCUGAUUACGUCCCUGCCCUUUGUACGCACCGCCCGUCGCUACUACCGAUUGAAUGGUUUAGUGAGAUCUCUGGAUUGACGCUGGCUAGGGGGCGACCCUUGGCCGGACUGUUGAGAAACUGCUCAAACUUGAUCAUUUAGAGGAAGUAAAAGUCGUAACA
rnacentral:rRNA from 1 species